GGUCCCAUCGUCUAAUGGUUAGGACAUCACCCUUUCACGGUGGCAAUAUGGGUUCGAGUCCCGUUGGGAUCACCA
rnacentral:tRNA from 2 species